rnacentral:rRNA from 1 species
CGGGGGGGCGUGCUUACACAUGCAGUCGAACGAUGAAGCCCUGCUUGCAGGGUGGAUUAGUGGCGAACGGGUGAGUAACACGUGAGUAACCUGCCCCUGACUCUGGGAUAAGCCCGGGAAACUGGGUCUAAUACCGGAUAUGACUUCCUACUGCAUGGUGGGUUGUUGAAAGAUUUAUCGGUGGGGGAUGGACUCGCGGCCUAUCAGCUUGUUGGUGAGGUAAUGGCUCACCAAGGCGACGACGGGUAGCCGGCCUGAGAGGGUGACCGGCCACACUGGGACUGAGACACGGCCCAGACUCCUACGGGAGGCAGCAGUGGGGAAUAUUGCACAAUGGGCGGAAGCCUGAUGCAGCGACGCCGCGUGAGGGAUGACGGCCUUCGGGUUGUAAACCUCUUUCAGUAGGGAAGAAGCGAAAGUGACGGUACCUGCAGAAGAAGCGCCGGCUAACUACGUGCCAGCAGCCGCGGUAAUACGUAGGGCGCAAGCGUUAUCCGGAUUUAUUGGGCGUAAAGAGCUCGUAGGCGGUUUGUCGCGUCUGCCGUGAAAGUCCGAGGCUCAACCUCGGAUCUGCGGUGGGUACGGGCAGACUAGAGUGAUGUAGGGGAGACUGGAAUUCCUGGUGUAGCGGUGAAAUGCGCAGAUAUCAGGAGGAACACCGAUGGCGAAGGCAGGUCUCUGGGCAUUUACUGACGCUGAGGAGCGAAAGCAUGGGGAGCGAACAGGAUUAGAUACCCUGGUAGUCCAUGCCGUAAACGUUGGGCACUAGGUGUGGGGGACAUUCCACGUUUUCCGCGCCG